rnacentral:rRNA from 1 species
CCUACGGGAGGCAGCAGUGGGGAAUAUUGGACAAUGGGGGCAACCCUGAUCCAGCCAUGCCGCGUGUGUGAAGAAGGCCCUCGGGUUGUAAAGCACGUUCAGUGAGGAAGAACGCCUGGUGGUUAAUACCCAUCAGGAAAGACAUCACUCACAGAAGAAGCACCGGCUAACUCCGUGCCAGCAGCCGCGGUAAUACGGAGGGUGCGAGCGUUAAUCGGAAUUACUGGGCGUAAAGCGCGCGUAGGUGGCUUGAUAAGCCGGUUGUGAAAGCCCCGGGCUCAACCUGGGAACGGCAUCCGGAACUGUCAAGCUAGAGUGCAGGCGAGGAAGGUAGAAUUCCCGGUGUAGCGGUGAAAUGCGUAGAGAUCGCGAGGAAUACCAGUGGCGAAGGCGGCCUUCUGGACUGACACUGACACUGAGGUGCGAAAGCGUGGGUAGCAAACAGGAUUAGCUACCCCGGUAGUC